ACGAACGCUGGCGGCGUGCUUAACACAUGCAAGUCGAACGGGGAUUAGUUGAUAGAGAGCUCGGCAGGAAAUUGAUUAAUUCGAGUGGCGGACGGGUGAGUAACGCGUGAGCAACCUGUCCCAGACAGGGGGAUAACACUUGGAAACAGGUGCUAAUACCGCAUAAGACCACGGGAUCACAUGGUUCUGGGGUAAAAGGAGCAAUCCGGUUUGGGGUGGGCUCGCGUCCGAUUAGCCAGUUGGCGGGGUAACGGCCCACCAAAGCGACGAUCGGUAGCCGACCUGAGAGGGUGAACGGCCACAUUGGAACUGAGAGACGGUCCAAACUCCUACGGGAGGCAGCAGUGGGGAAUAUUGGGCAAUGGGCGAAAGCCUGACCCAGCAACGCCGCGUGAGUGAAGAAGGCCUUCGGGUUGUAAAGCUCUGUUACAGUUGACGAAGGAAGUGACGGUAGGCUAUAAGGAAGCCCCGGCUAACUACGUGCCAGCCGCCGC
rnacentral:rRNA from 1 species